AACUGUGGAUUUAUAAGGCUUUGAGUUUUUUUUGUCGACUCGAAGAAGAGUUUGAAAGAUAAUUUCGAAGGACAAUUUCAUCGAAGGAAUUCGAAGAAAAAAGGGCGAGAUUUUGGAUUUUAAUUCCGCAAGAAUUAUGAAUUACGAAAUACGAUAACAUUUAUCGUACGGAAUAUUGUUCGAGAAAACGUGUUACGGAGUGGAUUAUUUUUCUGGUACGUAAACACGAGUCAAGGAGAAGUAUACGUUACGAAGAAAAGGAAAAAAUCGAUCGAGCGUGAAAAAAGUAUUAAUUUAAAGCAAUCCGAUUAAUAUCGAUUCUUGUAUUUGACCAAACUUUAAAAAUUGCGAUACUACGAUAAUUUCAAAAUUCAUCUGUUAUUUUUCACGAUAUUAUUAGUAUUGAAAUUUCUGAAUAGUAUCAAACUAUCGAGAUGCUCUUAAAAGACGCUCUUGAAAAUCUUGUUGAUAGAAAUAUCUAACUUUCUCUACAAGAAAGGAAAUAUUAAAUAAACACGAAAAAAUUAGAUAUACGGUAUUUGUUAACCAGAAGAAGAAAUGAGACGAAAAAAAAUGAUUGCAAGAAAGCGGAAA